rnacentral:sRNA from 1 species
AAUUCAAAUCAGAAUUUUAAAUUGAAUAAUUUAUAUAUACCAUAAAUCUAUAUAUACAUUUUUGCAGCCAUUUUGUGAAAUAAAUCAUGUAGUUGGACUUAUUUACAAUGGCUGCCACUGGAUUUUGAUGUUUGUUUUUGAUAAUUAGAAAGAAAAUCUUCGAAUUAAAUAUUUGACAUUUAACAAUCUUUCCAAAAUCUCUCCACAUUAACUACACGAUUAUUUUCUAAAAUAAAACUUCCAACAUUUAAUAUCAUUUAAUUACUACAAAAUUAUCAUUUUUGAUAUUGCUUUUCUCCAUGACUAUAACAAUUGAGUUAUAAUAAUCAAAGCAGAAAUAUAAUUUGAUAGCAUUUAAUUACUACAAAAUUACAAAAUAUUUAGACAAUAAUUCAUAAACAUAUCAUAAAUAAGAUCAACAUUAAUAAAAUAAAUGGUUUUGUUUUACGGGACGGGUUGACGGAACGAGUUUAAUAGGACGUUACUUAAUAAUAAUUGUAAACUAUAAAAUAAAAAUAUUUUAUAGUUAGAUACAAUUUGUAAACUUUUAUAUACUAACAUUAAAAAAUAAAUUGUUUCCGCGGUAUACCGCGGGUUAAAAUCUAGUAUAUUU